GCAAGAUUAAAACUCAAAGGAAUAGACGGGGACCCGCACAAGUGGUGGAGCAUGUGGUUUAUUUGGAAGAUACGCGAAGACCCUUACCUAGCCUUGACAUUGAUUGAACGGACCAGAGGUGGACCGGUGCCCUUCGGGGAACAUGAAAACAGGUGCUGCACGGCUGUCGUCAGCUCGUGUCGUGAGAUGUUGGGUUAAGUCCCGCAACGAGCGCAACCCUCGUCAAUAGUUGCCAGCAGGUUAAGCUGGGCACUCUAUUGAGACUGCCUUCGUAAGGAGGAGGAAGGUGAGGACGACGUCAAGUCAUCAUGGCCCUUAUGGCUAGGGCUACACACGUGCUACAAUGGGGCGUACAGAGAGUUGCGAUACCGCGAGGUGGAGCCAAUCUCAUAAAGCGUCUCUCAGUUCGGAUUGAAGUCUGCAACUCGACUUCAUGAAGCUGGAAUCACUAGUAAUCGUAGAUCAGCAAUGCUACGGUGAAUACGUUCCCGGGUCUUGUACUCACCGCCCGUCACACCAUGGGAGUUGAUUUCACCCGAAAUUGGGAAGCUAACCUUCGGGAGGCUACCACUUACGGUGGAAUUAGCGACUGGGGUGAAGUCGUAACAAGGUA
rnacentral:rRNA from 1 species